CCCUGUUUAAUUUUCAAGUUAUGUAAAUUAAGAAAAUCCUAAAAACAAGUUCAUUUUUAUUUGUAUAAAAGUUUUUGUGCUCACUCACGGUAGUUAAUAAAUAAUUGUGUUUACUCAUGUUAAAAAACUUCUGUUAAAAUAUAUAUAUAUUUUUGGAGCAAGAUAAUUGGUUAUUUUUCCUGUCAGUCAGAACUCUUGAGAAGUGGGUGGAGCUAGCAGCUGCGUUGUGAGCAGCAGGGGGGCAGCAGGAGAGAGAGAGAAGGAGAGAGAACUAAGCAGAGUCAGCCAUGCAGCACAGGAGCUGUUUGUGCUCAAUAUAAGUCCAAAAUGUGGCUAACGGCCAGUUUAAACCACUUGUGUGACUUUCUGUGACAUCUUUGAUGAGGACACGGACAGUGUUUCUGACGAGCCCAGUGAGCUACAUAGAGCUUGGGAGCUGACGAGGAAGCUGUUUCAUGACUUCUUGGCUGUUCCACCAUUCCAUGAGCAUCGCUCUCACCCUAAACUUCUACUAGACUGCCUAAACUACAUCUUCACUGAUUCUACGUUGUCCUGCUUUCACCAGACACCCAGAACAUUCUCUAGAGAGGUCGUGAGUACUGAGUGUGCACAAACAAAUAUUUUAUUUUGCUUACUUUAAGUAAGUGAAGCGGCUAUUAAAGUUUUGAGCCUCAACGUACCCAAGCCACGACUCAGGCCUGCAACUUUUUGUUUCUUUUAUUUUUCUAUUACUUUUCUGAGUGUGUGUGAGUGUGCGUGUGUGGGCCCACAAGUUAGGUAUUUCUUUGUUUAUUUGUUCAGAGCUGUUAUUUACAAUUUUUUGGAUAAUAUUUUGGGUAACUAAAUUGUUAAUAAUCUGCAACACAAUAAUUCUAAUAUCAUUUCAUUUGUAAUUUAAAACUGUGAUACCUGACUUUCCAAAAUUCAUACAAUAAUCUGAGUAAAAGAAAGGUAGCUAAGCAUUAAAACUCAUUUUUUUGGUUAA